CUCUCUCUCUCUCUCUCCCUCGCCUACCUCUCACCUCCCUCCCCUUCCUAUCUCUCUUCCCCUCUCUCCAUGUGCGGCGGCAACCAACAGUCGAGGCAGCGCCUCCUCGACGCUCCGACAUCGGUGGACCUCCACGGUUCCCAUACAUCUCCCCCAUCCUUUCCAUGGGUUUCGCAACGCCUCUUCCUGCCGGUUUCGUGAUAUGAUGCUGGCCUGACCAAAUAAUCCAACUUCACUUGAUGAAUUUGUUUAAACAAAGAUAAGGAACUCUCUUCAUUUAGUACAUAGUGCUAUCAAGUUCAUGAUGAAAUAAGUGCUCUAUCCAAAUUCACUCAGCCGAUGAGCCUAUCCUCAAGAACUAUCGCUCUUGCCUACUUUUAUCAUCUGCUUCACUUUCUUAGAUUUACCAACAUAUGCUAAACCACGAGAACGGGAUGCCGAGUUGUGGUGUCUUUGUCCAAUGCGCUAUCACCAGCCUCGCCCUUUGCAACCUGCAAUAGGUAACGUAAUAUUCCUCAACAUCCUUUGGGCACCAGUUACCUACAGAUACCAUAAAACUUUUAUUUGUGCUUCCUUCAUAUAAUACAUAUGUAGAUUGGUUUGAUGGACCUUUAGUUUGAUUCAUACAUUUGUAAUAUAUAUUUUUUGUGUGCUUACCUUUCUAUACAUGUUGUUCAAAAGCA